rnacentral:rRNA from 1 species
GAUAAACGCUGGCGGCGUGCAUGAGACAUGCAAGUCGAACGAAGGAUCGGGCUUGCUCGAUCCUUAGUGGCGGACGGCUGAGUAACGCGUAGGUGACCUACCCGAGUGGGGAAGUAACUGCCCGAAAGGGUGGCUAAUACCGCAUGUGGUCGCACGUUCAUUCGUGCGAGUAAAGCCGCAAGGCGCUUCGGGAGGGGCCUGCGUCCGAUUAGCUCGUUGGUGGGGUAAUGGCCUACCAAGGCGACGAUCGGUAGGUGGUCUGAGAGGACGAUCAGCCUCACUGGGACUGAGACACGGCCCAGACUCCUACGGGAGGCAGCAGUGGGGAAUAUUGGGACAAUGGGGGAAACCCGUGAUCCAGCAAUGCCGCGUGAGUGAUGAAGGUCUUCGGAUUGUAAAGCUCUUUUGGCAGGGACGAUGGUGACGGUACCUGCAGAAUAAGCUCCGGCUAACUUCGUGCCAGCAGCCGCGGUAAGGUAGAUGAGU